rnacentral:rRNA from 1 species
UACGUAGGGGGCAAGCGUUGUCCGGAUUUACUGGGCGUAAAGCGCGCGUAGGCGGGAAAGGAAGUCCGGUGUGAAAGCCCCCGGCUCAACCGGGGAAGGUCGCUGGAAACUCCUUUUCUUGAGGUGGACAGAGGGAAGUGGAAUUCCUGGUGUAGCGGUGAAAUGCGUAGAUAUCAGGAGGAACACCCGUGGCGAAGGCGGCUUCCUGGGUCCAUCCUGACGCUGAGGCGCGAAAGCGUGGGGAGCGAACGGG